rnacentral:tmRNA from 1 species
ACUCUUUUCAUUGCUCGUUAAAGCACCUAUAUACCCCUUGCCGGUGCUUGCAUCGGCUAUGGCAAUAAACUGUCGGUGUAAUAAACCUAUUGGACCCGGGGGCGGUACCCGGCGCCUCCACCAAAAACCGGCCAGUCGUUAUGACCGGCUUUUGAUGGGGGUGAAAUAGGAUCGACAAGGGCGUAAAGAUCGAACUUUUGCUCGGCAUGAUACCACCGUCAUCGGGUCACAAGUGUAGUUGCAAAUGACAACAACGCUCAGGGUUAUGCUGUAGCUGCCUAAUGGCGGUUCCGGAAAUCCGAACUUAAGUCCAUACGGUUAGCCCCGUAUGGCGGGGUCCGAAGGCACCUGGCAACAGAAGCCUUCACC